rnacentral:rRNA from 1 species
CCUACGGGAUGCACCAGUGGGGAAUAUUGCACGAAGGGCGCCAGCCUGAUGCAGCCAUGCCGCGUGUGUGAAGAAGGCCUUCGGGUUGUAAAGCACUUUCAGCGGGGAGGAAGGCGGUGAGGUUAAUAACCUCACCGAUUGACGUUACCCGCAGAAGAAGCACCGGCUAACUCCGUGCCAGCAGCCGCGGUAAUACGGAGGGUGCAAGCGUUAAUCGGAAUUACUGGGCGUAAAGCGCACGCAGGCGGUCUGUCAAGUCGGAUGUGAAAUCCCCGGGCCCAACCUGGGAACUGCAUUCGAAACUGGCAGGCUAGAGUCUUGUAGAGGGGGGUAGAAUUCCAGGUGUAGCGGUGAAAUGCGUAGAGAUCUGGAGGAAUACCGGUGGCGAAGGCGGCCCCCUGGACAAAGACUGACGCUCAGGUGCGAAAGCGUGGGGAGCAAACAGGAUUAGAUACCCUUGUAGUC